rnacentral:rRNA from 1 species
UCCUACGGGUGGCUGCAGUGGGGAAUAUUGGACAAUGGGCGAAAGCCUGAUCCAGCCAUGCCGCGUGUGUGAAGAAGGCCUUUUGGUUGUAAAGCACUUUAAGCGAGGAGGAGGCUACUUAGAUUAAUACUCUAGGAUAGUGGACGUUACUCGCAGAAUAAGCACCGGCUAACUCUGUGCCAGCAGCCGCGGUAAUACAGAGGGUGCGAGCGUUAAUCGGAUUUACUGGGCGUAAAGCGUGCGUAGGCGGCUGCUUAAGUCGGAUGUGAAAUCCCUGAGCUUAACGUAGGAAUUGCAUUCGAUACUGGGAAGCUAGAGUAUGGGAGAGGAUGGUAGAAUUCCAGGUGUAGCGGUGAAAUGCGUAGAGAUCUGGAGGAAUACCGAUGGCGAAGGCAGCCAUCUGGCCUAAUACUGACGCUGAGGUACGAAAGCAUGGGGAGCAAACAGGAUUAGAUACCCUAGUAGUC